UGGGGAAUAUUGCGCAAUGGGCGAAAGCCUGACGCAGCAACGCCGCGUGAGUGAUGAAGGCCUUCGGGUUGUAAACCGCUUUUGUCAGGGAAGAAACGCUCUGGGCUAAUACCCUGGGGUAAUGACGAUACCUGAAGAAUAAGCACCGGCUAACUACGUGCCAGCAGCCGCGGUAAUACGUAGGGACCAAGCGUUGUUCGGAUUUACUGGGCGUAAAGGGCGCGUAGGCGGCAAUUCAAGUCAUCUGUGAAAUCUCCGGGCUUAACUCGGAACGGUCAGAUGAUACUGCUUUGCUAGAGUGCAGAAGGGGCAAUCGGAAUUCUUGGUGUAGCGGUGAAAUGCGUAGAUAUCAAGAGGAACACCUGAGGUGAAGACGGGUUGCUGGGCUGACACUGACGCUGAGGCGCGAAAGCCAGGGGAGCAAACGGGGAUUAGAUACCCUGGUAGUCCCUGAGCGGGCUGGCAAGGCGCAU
rnacentral:rRNA from 1 species